rnacentral:tRNA from 1 species
GGUUGUGGCUCAGUGGUAGAACACCUGUCUAGCACUUUCGAGGUGCUGGGUUUGAUCCUCAGCACCA